GGGAAGAUAAAUCCUGUCUAUUCCUCUUAUGUAUUCUUGGACAUAACAACCACAGGUGGCAAGAAUUCAGGUUUAUUAAGCUCUCUAACAUCUCUUUCAUGCUUUCCGCUCAGCUUUGUUAUCAGUCAUAUCGUUGGCUCACUAAGGCAUAAGAUCAUGUUUCUCUUCUGAUGCUGCCACUCUAACUUGGAAAGAAUAAACCUCAGCACAUUCCUGCAGCCCCUUCAGGAACAUGGAUGGUCUAUUCACUCGUGGAGAGGUCACCGAUUGCUUUUUCCUGGAGUCUCCACAAGAAUGGAAAAAGGAAAAUUAAGACCAUUAGUUAAGAGUAGGAAAUGCAAAGUAAAUGCAGAGGUAUGAUAUGGGCCAUGGUAGUAUGGGAUAACCAAUUUUCAUCAUCUGCUUUUCUGGACAGAUGUAUCCUGCAGAGUUUCAGACACACAAGUGUUGGCAUACAUUUCUGGGGAAAAAAAAAAAGAAAGAAAAAACCCCCCACUUUACUGUCAUUUGGAUGUUGUUACUUCAAGUUCUAUAGCACUACAUCACACUGUCGUACUAAUACAGUUCAAGAAAAGGUAUACUAAAUAUAAUGAGCAUACAUGCAUAACUUGCUUUUCAGAUCCCUUUAACUUAUUUAUCAUUGGCUGUGGGAAUAUAAGAAAUAGGUUGGAGAUAGGAAAAUAGAAACCUAAUUUCCAGCAGUUAAGCUUAGGAAUGGCAAAUGACAUCAUUGUUACUGUAUUUCUUUCUGUCUUUGUCAAUAAGAUUAAACUACAUUAUUGUGUUUU
rnacentral:lncRNA from 1 species